GAACGAUGAAGCCCUUCGGGGUGGAUUAGUGGCGAACGGGUGAGUAACACGUGGGCAAUCUGCCCUUCACUCUGGGACAAGCCCUGGAAACGGGGUCUAAUACCGGAUAUCACUCCCGCAGGCAUCUGUGGGGGUCGAAAGCUCCGGCGGUGAAGGAUGAGCCCGCGGCCUAUCAGCUUGUUGGUGAGGUAAUGGCUCACCAAGGCGACGACGGGUAGCCGGCCUGAGAGGGCGACCGGCCACACUGGGACUGAGACACGGCCCAGACUCCUACGGGAGGCAGCAGUGGGGAAUAUUGCACAAUGGGCGAAAGCCUGAUGCAGCGACGCCGCGUGAGGGAUGACGGCCUUCGGGUUGUAAACCUCUUUCAGCAGGGAAGAAGCGAAAGUGACGGUACCUGCAGAAGAAGCGCCGGCUAACUACGUGCCAGCAGCCGCGGUAAUACGUAGGGCGCAAGCGUUGUCCGGAAUUAUUGGGCGUAAAGAGCUCGUAGGCGGCUUGUCACGUCGGGUGUGAAAGCCCGGGGCUUAACCCCGGGUCUGCAUUCGAUACGGGCUAGCUAGAGUGUGGUAGGGGAGAUCGGAAUUCCUGGUGUAGCGGUGAAAUGCGCAGAUAUCAGGAGGAACACCGGUGGCGAAGGCGGAUCUCUGGGCCAUUACUGACGCUGAGGAGCGAAA
rnacentral:rRNA from 1 species